ACUAUGGUCUUAGCUGUUGCGAACAUAUCAUAUAUCCACAAGAAGGCGAACCAUUGCAGCAACUACAACUGGCUUCGAUGCUAAAUUACGACAAUACCAUGUAUUACGAACUUUUCACAAUAUCAUUGACGAUGUUAUCUAAAAGACCGUCACCAGUGCAACACUGUUCCACGUCGUCAGUUUACGUCAAAAAUAUGCAGAAGUAUGCAGACUUGUUCCCCGUACCACGACCCAGGUACCGCCCACCGUGUUUUGUUACCGACGUCAUAAGGUUAGAGGUCAUGCCGCCGUCUGUGGACCAAUAGGCACUGGACACAGUGACAUCACUUUCCUUUUAUACUCCUGCAGUGUUGUUAUGAUCAUAGAUACGUUUCAGUGUAUUGUGCAAUCGCGUCAGGCCGUAUUUAUAGCGCUGACUUCUCCUCAUAUUUCUCAAGCUUUUGCAAGCCACCCGGCUGUUGGGUUUUCUGUGGCGAAGCUUCUGGCAAGAGUCCACCCAGACCCGAUCAGAAAAAGCAUCUGUGCCAGAAGAAGACAGACGCACAGGUUGACGUGAGCAUGGGUCUUGUCUGCCUGGAUACUCCUACGUAUAAGGAUGAUAUUUAACUCAAGACUCUUGUUUCGUCGAUCAGUGUUAGAUAUCCAGGUUCGUAUGUAUGAUAUAUACGCAAGGUAGCAGUUACUCAAGUGACUGGAUAGAAUUGUUAUUGUAAAUUACAAUUACAUCUCGCAUUCUUAUACAAAGAUCAGUAGAUUAUGUAAGUUUCGAAAUUCGGGAGUGAGAAG